rnacentral:tRNA from 1 species
GGAGAGGUGUCCGAGCGGUUUAAGGUGCAGCUCUCGAAAAGCUGUGUGCCGAAAGGUACCGUGGGUUCGAAUCCCACCCUCUCCGCCA